rnacentral:rRNA from 1 species
GUCGGCGGCUUAGGAUUGGUAUAAGGGCCCGACCCCAUGCCGAACUCAGAAGUGAAACGCCGUAGCGCCGAUGGUAGUGUGGGGUCUCCCCAUGCGAGAGUAGGGAACUGCCAGGC